AUGCUCACUUGGGCAUCACAUAUACUAAAAUUGGAAUGCUACCAAAAAGAUUAGCAUGGCCCCUGUACAAGGAUGACAUGUAAACUCAUGAAGUAUUCCAUAUUUUA
ensembl:snRNA U6 U6 spliceosomal RNA